AUGUUCUCCGUCUCCAUCGUCAACGCGGCCGUUCGGAGCUGUGGACGCAGGGUCUCCGGUGCCUGUCGUGGUGGUAAUCCCCGAACCCGGUGGUGGACGCCGGAGGUAAGGGACGCCAUCAAGCUGAAGAAGGAGUCCUACCAGGUAUGGUUGACCUGUAGGACUCCUGAGGCAGCUGAUGGGUACCGGCAGGCCAAACGUGCUGCAGCCCGUGCCGUUGCGGAGGCAAAAACUCGGGCUUGGGAGGAGUUCGGGGAGGCCAUGGAGGAGGACUAUCGCUCGGCCUCAAAGAGAUUCUGGCAAACCGUCCGGCGCCUCAGGAGGGGGAAGCAGUUCUUUACCAACUCUGUUUUCAGUGGAGGUGGGGAGCUGUUGACCUCAACUGGGGAUGUUAUCGGACGGUGGAAGGAGUACUUUGAGGAUCUCCUCAACCCCUCCGACAUGCCUUCUGCUGAGGAAGCAGAGGCAGGGGACUCAGAGGCGGACUCGCCCAUCACCCAGGCUGAGGUCACCGAGGUAGUUAGUAAGCUCCUCGGUGGCAGAGCAGCGGGGGUGGAUGAGAUCCGUCCUGAGUACCUCAAGUCUCUGGAUGUUGUGGUGCUGUCUUGGGUGACACGCCUCUGCAACAUCGCGUGGAGGAGGGGGACAGUUCCUCUGGACUGGACAACCGGGGUGGUUGUCCCUCUUUACAAAAAGGGGGACAGGAGACUGUGUUCCAACUAUAGGGGGAUCACACUUCUCAGCCUCCCUGGGAAAGUCUAUGCCAGGGUACUGGAGAGGAGAAUUCGGCCGAUAGUCGAACCUCGGAUACAGGAGGAACAAUGUGGUUUUCGGCCUGGUCGUGGAACGCUGGACCAGCUUUAUAUCCUCAGCAGGGUGCUUGAGGGUUUGUGGGAGUUUGCCCAACCAGUCUACAUGUGCUUUGUGGAUCUGGAGAAGGCAUUCGACCGCGUCCCUCGUGACAUCCUGUGGGGGGUGCUCCGGGAGUAUGGAGUCCAGGGCCCUCUGGGGAGGUGUUCCGGGCAUGUCCCACCGGUAGGAGGCCCCGAGGAAGACCCAGGACUCGCUGGAGAGACUACGUCUCUCGGCUGGCCUGGGAACGUCUUGGGGUCCCACCGGAAGAGCUGGAGGAAGUGUCCGGGGAGAGGGAAGUCUGGAACUCUCUGCUUAGACUGCUGCCCCCGCGACCCGGCCCCGGAUAAGCGGAUGAAAAUGGAUGGAUGGAUGGAUGGAUGGAAGUUGCGCAGAACAAGGCUGAGUGCACUCCUGAGCGGUCAUCACCUCCAUUUUUCCAUCUUUCUCCUGCACUACUGCAAACCCUGCUUUAAGCUCCGACCCCUGCCUAUAGCAAGAUCCAUCCACAAA
rnacentral:lncRNA from 1 species